rnacentral:tRNA from 1 species
GCCUGGGUGGCUCAGUGGUUGAGCGUCUGCCUUUGGCUCAGAGUGUGGGAUGGAGUCCCACAUCUGGCU